rnacentral:misc_RNA from 1 species
CAUUUAGCUAGCUAAGGAUUCAACACAGCCUACUGCAAGCACAUGCGGUACAUCAUUCUACAUUAGGCGUUUCGCGUCAAGAGAAUAAAACUGGCUGUCCGGGUUGUAGGCAUUGUGCAUGGCAUUUAUUCCCACAAAACCAAAGCGGCAGAAGUAGUAACGACGUCGACGAAGGACUCACAAUCUGAAACUCCCGUCGCUUUCCACGCAAUGGCGUGUCGGCACAAGCAGUUCAUCAACACAGUGGGGACAUGCGUCGAUGAAAUGUUGCAAGGGGUGGUAGCCGUCAAUCCAGCCGUCGCAUUGCUCAAAGGUCACAGGGUCAUACUGCGAGCGGACAUCGCAAAGUAUAAAACUGCUGGGAAAGUUGCCGUGCUGUGCGGUGGCGGAUCAGGGCACGAGCCGUUUGCGUCAGGAUAUGUUGGAUGCGGCAUGUUGACUGGUGCUAUAGCUGGCUCGGUCUUUGCAUCGCCUCCUGCCAGUGACAUCCUCGCCGCCGUACGAGCUGUUGCCACCUCAGCCGGAGUUCUUCUCAUCGUGGCCAACUACACGGGCGACCGGAUCAACUUUGGCAUUGCCGCUGAGAAGGCCAAAGCCCUGGGCAUCAACAUCGAGACGGUCACAGUGGCUGAGGAUAGCGCCCUCACCAGUGUGGAUAAGACAGCUGGGAGACGCGGAUUGUGCGGGAUCAUUCUGAUACAGAAGAUAGCUGGAGCGAUGGCAGAAGAGGGUCGCACGCUGCAGGAGAUAGUGGAAGCCACAAGCAAGGCCGCCAAAUCUAUGGGAACCAUUGGUAUUAGUCUUUCACCCUGUCACGUGCCCGGGUCGGGUGCCACUUUCCAGCUGGGGGACGAGGACAUGGAGUUGGGCCUUGGAGUUCACGGGGAACCAGGCGUGAAACGAAUGAAGGUCUGCCGGGCGGACAUCAUAACGGCAGCCAUGAUUGAUCACAUGACGGACAAAGCCACCAGCAGUCAUAUAGAUGUGCACUCAGGGGAUCACGUCCUGGUGUUGUUAAACAAUCUGGGCGGGACGUCCACCCUCGAACUGUUCCUAAUGGUGCACUCGAUCAUCCGAUUGCUUGAAUCUAAGGGUGUUGUUGUGGAGCGAGUGAUGGCAGGUCAUUUUAUGACGUCAUUGGACAUGGCGGGUCUUUCGUUGACCAUCAUGCAUCUUGAUGAAGAGCGGAAGUGGUGCAUUGAUAAGGAGACAAAUGCAUUUGCCUGGCAGAGAAGCAAUGUCUUGACAGAUCAGGACGCCCUCUCUCAGCCGCAUGGAUUAAGUGUCGUUGAGUUCAAGGAGGAGAACGACGCAGCAGAGAGCCGCAGCCAAGAAGAGUUCGCGUCCGGUACGAAAUCAGCUCCUCCUUGCGAAACACCGGAGCGUCUGGUGGCGGUAAUUUCUGCUAUUUGCGAGACACUGAUUGCGGCAGAGGACAGACUGAACGAUCUAGAUAAGUCGGGCGGAGAUGGUGACUGCGGUACAACCCUGAAGCGAGGGGCAGAAGCGAUCCUUCGUUCCCGUGCUGGACUGGUUGCCAUGGGAGCUGGCCAGAUGCUGGGCGCCCUCUCCGGCACGGUGGAGCAGAGCAUGGGCGGUUCCUCGGGUGGGCUAGACAUCUGGACCCUAUUCCGAGUGCUGACCAGUGGAUGAAGGCGUUAGGUGCAGGGAUCGACGCUGUACGCAGGUAUGGAGGAGCUAAGCCAGGAGACAGAACAAUGCUCGACCCACUCCACGCCGCGUGGAUCACAUUGAAGCAGGCACAAGAGUUUGGAGCG